rnacentral:lncRNA from 1 species
UUUUGAAAUUUUUUUAAUUAAGUCCCUCGUAGUUUCAGUAAAGCCCUCUCUCCCAUUGAAACUCAAAACACAAAGUAACAUUCUUUUUUUCCCAUAUUCUUUUCUCGCCGGCUCCGUUCAUGACCGGAAACCAAUAUUCGGACUUCUCCGUCAUUCACCGCUCCUCCCCUCCCUUCUGUAGCAACCCCAAGUCACCGUCACGGCGACACCGUCAGUUAAUGUCAUCUAAAAAGUUACAGAGGAAGCGAGGCCAUGAUUAUCUCUAGAAACGAGUCCUUGAAACCCCAAACAGUGGUUAAGAUUCUGUUCGAACCUUAGUUCUUUAAUUUUGACGAUUUUUUUUUUCUCGCCGAAACGUAGAAGAAUGGGGAAGAAGUUGCAGAAUAAAUUUCGUCGAUUAAUGGCGGAAUCAAAGCUGAAGGCUUCAAUUGAAGAGGAAUUUGUCAUUGAUUUGAACCAUUCCUUCGAGCAUGGAGGAGAGAGAGGCGGCGGAGAUGGUGAAUGGCUGAGGAGGAGCAGGUUUGGGAUGGG